rnacentral:lncRNA from 1 species
CAUCUGACACCUGGCAGUUCUUGGGAAAUACCUGCACACGAAUGGAGGCAAGGCCUCUCUCCAGAGGAGGACGCUGAAGAGGUGAAAAGUGAGCCUCCUGCUCUCCCUUUGAGGCAAUUUGGCAUAGCCUGGGUUCUCAGAUCAGACGGAAGUGGGUUCAGUUCUUGGCUCGGAGCGACCUUAGACCGCUGGUUGAAAUCCUUCUGGGCCUGUUCCUGCCUCUGGACAGUGGGAAUGUACUGAGACUACCUCUCAGGAUUGCCACUACAGGAGGCGAGAGGGACACCUAACCUCAUCUCCGCUGGGCACAGAGACGGCUUCUCAGAAGAAGCGAUAUCUACACAAAGUCCUAAAGACCAAGGGGUCAGUGUGGACCACGAGGACUGAAGAUGGGGUUGAAGAAUGGAGGAGAAUAAUUGAAAGCAGCAACUGGAACAGAUAUUUGUACAUCUCUAUUUAUUUGCAGCAUUGUUCAGAACAGGCAAAAGGUAGAAAGAACCCAAAUAUCCAUCCACAGGUUAACGGAUAAAAAAAUGUGAUGUAUACAUACAGUGGAAUAUUAUUAAGCCGUUAAAAGGGAAGGGAAAGGAAUGCUGACACAUGCCACACCAUGGGUGAACCUUAAAGACCUGCUAAGUUAAAUAAGCCAGACACAAAAGGACAAACACUGUAAGAUUCCACUUAUAUAAGGUCCCUAGAGUCAUCAGAUUCAUAGAGACAGAAAGCAGAAUGAUGGGUGCCAGGGGCUGGGGGGAUGGGGAGGUGGUGUUUGAUGGGGACCGAAUUUCAGUUUGGGAAGAUGAAAAAGUUCUGGAGGUAGAUGGUGGUGAUGGUUGUACAACAAUAUGAGUGUAUUUAAUGCCACUGAGCUGUACAUUUAAAAAUGGUUAAAAUGG